rnacentral:rRNA from 1 species
AAGUGUGAAACCAACUCCGAGAUGAGAUUUCCCUCUUUUGAUAAGGGCACUGGAAGACUACCAGUUGAUAGGCCGGGCGUGUAAGUGCAGAAAUGCAUUCAGCUUACCGGUACUAAUGCCCGAAGACUUGACCAC